GGCUCCUAGAACAUAAAAUGAUCUGUGGAAGCUAGCUGAGAGUUUUGCAAGCGUAUCUGAAUGGAGAAUCAACUGAGGCUCAGAGUGGGACUUCAAACUUGUACAGCUGCAGCCUUCCUGCAGAUGGUGAGAGAAGUACUGUGGAAACCUCUCCACUUCUCCACUAGGACUAACACAGAGGCAAUCAGCUUCCUGGCUCCUGCACAUGCAAACAUUUGAAUUUCCUGUUGGCUCAGAGUGUUUGCAUUGCAAGUGACAUCUGGCUGACAGGAACUUGGAGAAAUAGGAUACAAAGUGAAUGCUGCAGUUACCACAGUAUCGUAUUUAUCAAAAGGCUUAAGUGUCCUCAAAUGGGAGAUAAUCUGAGAUGCAGAGAAUUUACAGCACAGGUA